AUUGAACGCUGGCGGCAGGCCUAACACAUGCAAGUCGAGCGGAGGAAGGGAGCUUGCUCCUGGAUUCAGCGGCGGACGGGUGAGUAAUGCCUAGGAAUCUGCCUGGUAGUGGGGGAUAACGUCCGGAAACGGGCGCUAAUACCGCAUACGUCCUGAGGGAGAAAGUGGGGGAUCUUCGGACCUCACGCUAUCAGAUGAGCCUAGGUCGGAUUAGCUAGUUGGUGGGGUAAAGGCCUACCAAGGCGACGAUCCGUAACUGGUCUGAGAGGAUGAUCAGUCACACUGGAACUGAGACACGGUCCAGACUCCUACGGGAGGCAGCAGUGGGGAAUAUUGGACAAGGGGCGAAAGCCUGAUCCAGCCAUGCCGCGUGUGUGAAGAAGGUCUUCGGAUUGUAAAGCACUUUAAGUUGGGAGGAAGGGCAGUAAGUUAAUACCUUGCUGUUUUGACGUUACCAACAGAAUAAGCACCGGCUAACUUCGUG
rnacentral:rRNA from 1 species